UUUUUUUUUUUUUUUUUUUUUUUUUUGUUAUAAGGGGCGUGCUUCUUAAAGGUUUCUAAUCUGUGGACUGAGCCUUGAUCAAACAUUUAUGAAACAGUAUCACCUUUCAAAUACUAUUGAAUUGAGCCCUCAACACCACUUAAAGACUGAAGAGAAAUUUCACAUGCAUUUACAAGUAUGAAAACAGGAUGAACUGAUUUAACCUAGGCCCUCCCAGAAGGGGGAGGUGAACAAAGGAAAAAGGAUCUUAAGAUCUUUUCAUUCUUGUUCUUAUGCCUUAACCAUACCAAAGGCUGCUUUUUUUUUUUUUUUUUUUUUUUUUUUUUUGAGGUGGGGAGAGAGAGAGAGAACUGUGUCUCAACUUCUGAAUCUCUGGAUUACUCAAGAAAUCCAGUCCAGUUUGGAUAAGGGCUGAGGAAAAAAAACACGUACUCACACUUUGAAGAGGCUKGAAACAGAUUGCUUAGAAAAAAUACAAAAGAAUCCCAUGCUUCCCCACUACCUCAAGAGUGGAGACUGCUACCUAAUCUGCUGAGUCCAAACCAUCAGCUAGUAUGAUAUGUGAGAAAAUUAUGGAAAGUGCCUCUGCUGGUGGAUCUCACAAAAGGCAAACAACCCUGUUUAUCUCAAAGAACAUGGAAAGAUAAGAAAACAAGACAGCUGAAGUGAUUUCAUUUCAAGAUUUUGUCAUGGAAGCAGAGUCUUCCGGAACACGUUUGUGCUGCUUCCCAGAGUCUUGCUGGGGUCCUACCAAGGGAACUGGCUUUUCAAGUCAGAAAAGGUGUACAGCAAAUCCCCUUGAGCUUCCAUAAAGU
rnacentral:lncRNA from 1 species